rnacentral:rRNA from 1 species
UACGGAGGGUGCAAGCGUUAUCCGGAUUUAUUGGGUUUAAAGGGUGCGUAGGCGGCCCGGUAAGUCAGUGGUGAAAGCCUCCAGCUCAACUGGAGAACUGCCAUUGAUACUGCCGGGCUUGAGUACAGACGAGGUUGGCGGAAUUGAUUGUGUAGCGGUGAAAAUGCAUAGAUACAAUCAAGAACUCCGAUUGCGUAGGCAGCUAACUAGGCUGUAACUGACGCUGAGGCUCGAAAAGCGUGGGGGAGCAAACAGGG